CUCUGCCUCCCUCAGAAUGAACAAGAUUGGUUUUCAGCGUUCGUAGCCACACUUUGCCACGCCACACCCACCAUCCUGCACGCCUCGCUGUCUCUAAGGUCACCAGUCACCACUCUUUCUUCAUCUGUUUAUCAGUCGAGAUUAUUCCAGUGACUUUUAAGAUAUUAAGACGACACUAAGGAUGAAGUCAGUCCGGGUAACCAACCAGCCCGGGGGAUUUCCAGACUGAUAAAGUGAAACACAAACGCCGCCACCACAAGAGAGACAAGAUAGGUUAUGGGUCUCACCGCCACUCGUCACAUGCACCGCCACCACUACAGACAGAGACAAGGAAGGCUAUGGGUACUCACCACCACUCGUCCAACUCUUCAUCCGACGAGUAGGCGAUGUAGUUGUUGAAUGAUUUCCGAAUGCUCAGGCGUCUGGUGCUUUCCUGGAAAAAUAAAUAAAUAAUGAAAUAAAUGAAAAUAAAAAAUAACGAGCAA